rnacentral:sRNA from 1 species
GAUACCAGGGUCAAAAGCUCCAAAAGCCGUUCGUGCUUGCACGAUUAGGUUUUUGAGCUUUUGACCCGCAAAAACAUGAGGAUGCAGCGAUUUUCAAGGAAAAUCAGCGAAUCCGAAUGUUUUUAGAAUUGUGAGAGUUGCAUCGCAACGGAGCAAUUCGUGGGUAUC